rnacentral:tRNA from 1 species
GCGGGCGUGGCGGAAUUGGUAGACGCAACGGACUUAAAAUCCGUCGGGCCUAGCCCAUGCCGGUUCGAUUCCGGCCGCCCGCACCA